rnacentral:rRNA from 1 species
UACGGAGGGUGCAAGCGUUAUCCGGAUUCACUGGGUUUAAAGGGUGCGUAGGUGGGCUGGUAAGUCAGUGGUGAAAUCUCCAGGCUUAACUUGGAAACUGCCAUUGAUACUAUCAGUCUUGAAUACCGUGGAGGUCAGCGGAAUAUGUCAUGUAGCGGUGAAAUGCUUAGAUAUGACAUAGAACACCAAUUGCGAAGGCAGCUGACUACACGAAUAUUGACACUGAUGCACGAAAGCGUGGGGAUCAAACAGG